GACUCCGACUUCAUGGGGUCGAGUUGCAGACCCCAAUCCGAACUGAGACCGGCUUUUUGGGAUUCGCUCCACCUUACGGUAUCGCAGCCCUCUGUACCGGCCAUUGUAGCAUGCGUGAAGCCCAAGACAUAAGGGGCAUGAUGAUUUGACGUCAUCCCCACCUUCCUCCGAGUUGACCCCGGCAGUCUCCCAUGAGUCCCCGGCAUAACCCGCUGGCAACAUAGGACGAGGGUUGCGCUCGUUGCGGGACUUAACCCAACAUCUCACGACACGAGCUGACGACAACCAUGCACCACCUGUGUACGAGUGUCCAAAGAGAACCCCGUCUCGGGGGCUUUCUCGUACAUGUCAAGCCUUGGUAAGGUUCUUCGCGUUGCAUCGAAUUAAUCCGCAUGCUCCGCCGCUUGUGCGGGCCCCCGUCAAUUCCUUUGAGUUUUAGCCUUGCGGCCGUACUCCCCAGGCGGGGCACUUAAUGCGUUAGCUGCGGCACGGAACUCGUGGAAUGAGCCCCACACCUAGUGCCCAACGUUUACGGCAUGGACUACCAGGGUAUCUAAUCCUGUUCGCUCCCCAUGCUUUCGCUCCUCAGCGUCAGUUGCGGCCCAGAGACCUGCCUUCGCCAUCGGUGUUCCUCCUGAUAUCUGCGCAUUCCACCGCUACACCAGGAAUUCCAGUCUCCCCUACCGCACUCUAGUCUGCCCGUACCCGAUGCAAGCCCGAGGUUGAGCCUCGGGAUUUCACACCAGACGCGACAGACCGCCUACGAGCUCUUUACGCCCAAUAAUUCCGGACAACGCUUGCGCCCUACGUAUUACCGCGGCUGCUGGCACGUAGUUAGCCGGCGCUUCUUCUGCAGGUACCGUCACUUGCGCUUCUUCCCUGCUGAAAGAGGUUUACAACCCGAAGGCCGUCAUCCCUCACGCGGCGUCGCUGCAUCAGGCUUGCGCCCAUUGCGCAAUAUUCCCCACUGCUGCCUCCCGUAGGAGUCUGGGCCGUGUCUCAGUCCCAGUGUGGCCGGUCGCCCUCUCAGGCCGGCUACCCGUCGACGCCUUGGUAGGCCAUCACCCCACCAACAAGCUGAUAGGCCGCGAGCCCAUCCCCCACCGAAAAACUUUCCAACCCACACCAUGCGAUGCGAGCUCAUAUCCGGUAUUAGACCCCGUUUCCAAGGCUUAUCCCGAAGUGGAGGGCAGGUUGCUCACGUGUUACUCACCCGUUCGCCACUGAUCCACCCAGCAAGCUGGGCUUCAC
rnacentral:rRNA from 1 species